rnacentral:sRNA from 1 species
CGCCUAAACCUUAUAAUUCUAUAAGGCAUGGCACAAAAACUCGGUAAGAGAUAUUAAGCUCGUCGUCAGAGCAACUCUUACCGAGUCAUAAUCCGAAAGGGUUAUGGGUAGCCGAAAGGUUAUC